UCUCCGGCAUGCAAAAGCUUGGACGGAGACGGACGACCUCCUAGUCUGCCUUUUCCUCCCCCGGGUCUCUCCCGGUGCCUUCUUUUUUUGUGUUGUCACGGGCAGAAAAGAGGCCGGCAUUUCUUGGUGUGGUGCCGCGGCUCCAGGAGCGUGGAUUUCUCGUAGGUGCCGUCCCGGGCCGGCAAAUUAUUCACCGCAGAUCUUGCGCCAAGAAUCGUGCAACUUGAUGUGGUGGGAAUAAAGCUGGUCCCACCAACACCCACGCCGGACCCUCAUCUUGCCUGGUCGAUUGUGCAUUUUUGCCUCGCGAGUUUGUACACCAUGGGAGCCAGAGCUGAGGCAAAAAGCUCUGCCGCAGCCUCCAUUGGAUUCCUAACAGCUCCCAGCCAUGCCGCCGAGUUGGUAACCUUCCCUAUUCCUAGAUCCGCGAUUCACGGGGAGCGCUACCGUCCAUCAAUGGAGGGCGGAAGAGAGGAGGCGUCCGCGGAGAGUGGUCAGAGGACCUCAAUCCUACCAACAAUGGUGGCAGUGAGAGAGGAGACAAGAGCGAAGGAGGAGGAGGGGACCUUCCCUUCAUCAAUGGCGGGAGGGUGCUAGAACUCGACUGGUACAGCUCCUAUAGAGCUCGUGAAUGAAUCAAGCAUUGGCACAAUAUCGAUUGAGCACGCAGGGCGGCAGGGGCUAUAAGUUGUUACCCUUUCAUGGAUACUGCAUUUUUCAAUUUCAUCCAAUGGAACCCACAUGGUCAAUUCGGGCUUCAAGAAUACUAGAUAGGCAUGCAAUGAAUUGAUGGAUCAGAAUUGCAAGGGAAGAUUCACAAGGUCAUAGAAGGUGUAUCUGAACUGGAUCUUUUAGUUUGUUGCCAAUGUCAUGAAGAAGAAUGUUAUUGUAAUGUUAUGAAGAAGAAUGUUAAUUUGCUUCCAGACCAACUGUUAGUGGUUGUAAUGGAUUGAUGUUGUGAGGACUUCAGAAUUGUAAGCGAUGAUGAAAAACAAAUUGGUUUGUAAUGCACAUCCUGCAAUUAUCAACAUUUAAUGGAACUGAGUAUACUAA